rnacentral:rRNA from 1 species
AUUGAACGCUGGCGGAAUGCUUUACACAUGCAAGUCGAACGGUAGAGGGGGCAACCCCUUGAGAGUGGCGAACGGGUGAGUAAUAUAUCGGGAACGUGCCCAGUCGUGGGGAUAACGUAGCGAAAGUUACGCUAAUACCGCAUACGAUCUAAGGAUGAAAGCGGGGGAUCGCAAGACCUCGCGCGAUUGGAGCGGCCGAUAUCAGAUUAGGUAGUUGGUGAGGUAAAGGCUCACCAAGCCAACGAUCUGUAGCUGGUCUGAGAGGACGACCAGCCACACUGGAACUGAGACACGGUCCAGACUCCUACGGGAGGCAGC